UUUAUAAAUAUAUAGACAUAUAAAUUAGUAUAUGUAAAUUUGUUUACUUUUUAAGAUUUUCUAUUUUUUUAGAGAAUAAAAAAGUUAAAUUUUGAAUGACACAUGUAAACAUCUGAUCGUUUGACUUGACACGUGGCACGAUCCUAUGAAUUAGCAACUUUGAAAACUAUACUUUAUAUAAUAAGAUAUAAAUUAGUAUAUGUAAAUUUGUUUACUUUUUAAGAUUUUCUAUUUUUUUAGAGAAUAAAAAAGUUAAAUUUUGAAUGACACAUGUAAACAUCUGAUCGUUUGACUUGACACGUGGCACGAUCCUAUGAAUUAGCAACUUUGAAAACUAUACUUUAUAUAAUAAGAUAC
rnacentral:sRNA from 1 species